rnacentral:antisense_RNA from 1 species
CUUGAUCGAUCCCAGCCAUAGCGGGGCGUCGCGGUCUUGGCCGUACGUGGCCAGCAACGCCUGCGCCUC